GACAGAGGAUGCAAGCGUUAUCCGGAAUGAUUGGGCGUAAAGCGCGCGUAGGUGGCCUCAUAAGUCCGUUGUGAAAGUCAAAGGCUCAACCUUUGAAAGCCGAUGGAUACUGUGAGACUAGAGUACGGAAGAGGCGAGUGGAAUUCCUGGUGUAGCAGUGGAAUGCGCAGAUAUCAGGAGGAACACCAAUAGCGAAGGCAGCUCGCUGGGACGUACUGACACUGAGGCGCGAAAGCGUGGGGAGCGAACAGG
rnacentral:rRNA from 1 species